GCUGGGGUAGCUCAGUGGGUACAGCAUAAGACUUUUAAUCUCAGGUCAUGGGUUCAAGCCCCACAUUGGGCA